UGCCAGCAGCCGCGGUAAUACGGAGGGUGCAAGCGUUGUUCGGAUUCACUGGGUAUAAAGGGUGCGCAGACGGCCCGAUAAGUCAGGGGUGAAAUAUGACGGCUCAACCGUCAAACUGCCCCUGAAACUGUCAGGCUUGAGUCCGGGAGAGGUAGGUGGAAUUCCAGGUGUAGCGGUGAAAUGCGUAAAUAUCUGGAGGAACACCGGUGGCGAAGGCGGCCUACUGGCCCGGAACUGACGCUCAGGCACGAAAGCUAGGGUAGCGAAGCGGAUUAGAUA
rnacentral:rRNA from 1 species